AAAGACACAGAGAAGCCCUUAGAAGUGGACUCCAUUUCAUUGUCAAAACUACAAAACCUUUGACACAUUUUAAAAGAUUAGGUAGAGGACAUACAGUUGCUUACGGCCAUACCUCUCUGGCUCUGCCUGAUCUCGUCAGAUCUCAGAAGCUAAGCAGAGUAGGGCCUGGUUAGUACUUGGAUGGAAGACCGCCUGGGAAUCCCAGGUGCCGUAAGCUUUUUCAUUUCUCUCUCUGGAAGAAAUCGAGAAGGCCUUAGAAAGUGACUCCUUUUUCAUUAUCAAAACUCCAAAACCUUUGACACAUUUUAAAAGAUUAGGAAGAGGACAUACAGUUGCUUACGGCCAUACCUCUCUGGCUCUGCCUGAUCUCGUCUGAUCUCAGAAGCUAAGCAGAGUAGGGCCUGGUUAGUACUUGGAUGGAAGACCGCCUGGGAAUCCCAGGUGCUGUAAGCUUUUUCAUUUCGAUCUGUAAAAGACACAGAGAAGGCCUUAGAAAGUGACUCCAUUUAAUUGUCAAAACUACAAAACCUUUGACACAUUUUAAAAGAUUAGGAAGAGGACAUACAGUUGCUUACGGCCAUACCUCUCUGGCUCCGCCUGAUCUCGUCAGAUCUCAGAAGCUAAGCAGAGUAGGGCCUGGUUAGUACUUGGAUGGAAGACUGCUUGGGAAUCCCAGGUGCCGUAAGCUUUUUCAUUUCUCUCUCUGGAAGAAAUUGAGAAGGCAUUAGAAAGUGAAUCCUUUUUCAUUAUCAAAACUCCAAAACCUUUGACACAUUUUAAAAGAUUAGGAAGAGGACAUACAGUUGCUUACGGCCAUACCUCUCUGGCUCCGCCUGAUCUCGUCUGAUCUCAGAAGCUAAGCAGAGUAGGGCCUGGUUAGUACUUGGAUGGAAGACCGCCUGGGAAUCCCAGGUGCCGUAAGCUUUUUCAUUUCUAUCUGUAAAAGACACAGAGAAGAACUUAGAAAGUGACUCCAUUUCAUUGUCAAAACUACAAAACCUUUGACACAUUUUAAAAGAUUAGGAAGAGGACAUACAGUUGCUUACGGCCAUACCUCUCUGGCUCCGCCUGAUCUCGUCUGAUCUCAGAAGCUAAGCAGAGUAGGGCCUGGUUAGUACUUGGAUGGAAGACCGCCUGGGAAUCCCAGGUGCCGUAAGCUUUUUCAUUUCUCUCUCUGGAAGAAAUUGAGAAGGCAUUAGAAAGUGAAUCCUUUUUCAUUAUCAAAACUCCAAAACCUUUGACACAUUUUAAAAGAUUAGGAAGAGGACAUACAGUUGCUUACGGCCAUACCUC
ensembl:lncRNA